rnacentral:lncRNA from 1 species
GAGGACCUGAUAAGAGUGUGUAUAUUAUCCUCUUCAGGUUUUUUCGUUGUUUUUUUCUUUUUAAGUCCUCAGAGAGAUAGAACUUUAAAAUUAUCUAGUUUUAAUAUAAGUGGGAAUUUUCUUGGCUGUUGAAAUGUUACAUUACAAAAUUACUUUAUAUGGAUUAUGGUUAAAAUAGAUUCAUUUACCAGUGGUUUCUGAAUAUUUCUGUAUAGUCUUGAUAAAAUUUACAGUUGAAUGGUAGAUAUUUUGGAACGUCAUUUAGUGUGAGCGGGAAAAUGUACAUUUUUAAAUUUUUGGCAUAAUCUAAAUGAUGUUAUUUCAAAUGUUAAAAAUCCAUAAUAGUAAAUCUUACGAAGUUAAGUCCUAAACGUUAAUAGCCAAAAUACCAAAUACAUUGUUG